UCAAGGAAGAAAUUUUGACGGUACUUGAGGAAUAAGCAUCGGCUAACUCUGUGCCAGCAGCCGCGGUAAUACAGAGGAUGCAAGCGUUAUCCGGAAUCACUGGGCAUAAAGCGUCUGUAGGUGGCGUGUCAAGUCUGCUGUUAAAGAUCAGGGCCUAACCCUGGGAAAGCAGUGGAAACUAAUACGCUUGAGUGUGGUAGAGGUAGAGGGAAUUCCUGGUGUAGCGGUGAAAUGCGUAGAUAUUAG
rnacentral:rRNA from 1 species